GGGGUCAAUGCCUCAACAUGACUGUGCAACUCUCACACGGGCUACCCGGCAGAGACGGUGCGCACGGGCGGAACGCGUGCACGGAAGCUGACAUGGGAACAAGUUACGAGCGCCAUUCCUCAAACUGAAACCGAGCGCCGGAGGGCGGAGGGAGGAACGAUUACACAACUGUGACAAGGCCGAAACGGCUUUAUACAAAGGAGAACGCACGCGCGCACGCACGCACACGCAUACACAUAUGUAACCAAAGUGUACCAGCAACGCCCCUAUUACGGUAGUCAAAGCAGGAGACCUAUAUAUUGACUAUAUGGUGUUCGGUUCCACAGUGAGAUGUGUGUGUUAUCGAACAAUAUAAAUAUGAAUAUAAAAAAUAAUGUAUUUAAACUCCAGAUCACAAAUAAUACAGCUGUCCGUAAUUAUAAAACAGUCUAAAAAUGACUGGAUCUAAAAGUAGGGGUUUGAAAAGUCCGCCUGUGCACCUCUGCAACUCCAGAAUGCCUCAUUUGCCACAGUGGUUUUGUAAGGAACGGGAGAUGCGUCACAUGCAGGAAAUUGCUAAGACGACGAACUCAUACGAGCUUUGCAAAAACCAUCUCAUCUGCAAAAAACUCACACCGGUACGUCCUUAUACCAUGCAAAUGGUUGAUUAGCCGUUGUAAUUAAAACAUGCAGGUACAAACAGUGCUGUAGUGGUAAAAUUAGAGGUGGGUAAACUCUGAAUUUUGUGAUCACUCUGUAAAGCUGUCCUGACUAUAUUGCAUUAUGUUAUCAGUAAAAGUCAUAUACAAUCAAUGACAAUGAAUAAAUGUGUUAGUAGUUUGUAGUUUAUUAAAUUUAAGAAAACAGUAAAGAAAAGCAUGUCAACACAACACAACAACACAAUUGUAGAUUAAGAACUAUCUACAUACGGAGUCUCCUUUUUACAGUAGUUCCCAGAGGGCCUCCUUGUCCUCCACGUCAGGUCCUGCCUUGCACAGAGGGGCCAUGAACCCCAGAACACGCGUUCUGGGGUUCAUGGCUCCUCUGUGCUUCUCCUCUCUCUAUUGGACCUGGUGUUUCUCCUCUCCCUGUGCUCUCUGCAUCAUUGCCUGUCCUCUCACUGCCUGAAAAAAUAUGUUGAAUUUAAGAGUUAACCAGUUAAGCAGCCUGUCAAUUACACUGACAACAUAAGUUAAAGGAACACCCAUGUACUACCUAUGUCAUCAUAAAUAGCCCAUACAGCAUGUUUUGUUUUCACAUUGAGAACUGACUUGUUUUAUAAUCUACGCGUCACCAGGCGUUUUUCUUGUCCUUUUACCGUGCCCGACCAGCGAACACAGAGCGUUCCUCCCGCAACGACUACUACUACCCCUCCCCACCCCCCCGUCGGACCUUCUCGACCGGUCCGCGAAAUAUUGUCUGACAUGAAACCGGUCCGUGAGGUAAAAAGGUUGGGGACCACUGGGCUCAUCCACAGCGUGUGUUUACACACCUCCUGGAUCCUGAUUGGUCGCUGCUGCAGCCGCAAGGCACUGAUUGGAUGCUCACAGACCACAAUACAGCGCAGAUGAACAUGAUUCAGACCACUUUAUAUGUUCAACAAUAGGAAACGUAGUCUUCGCUGUUUUAAAAUUACACCAAGUUUAUUUCGGAUUAUUCCAACGGAAUUAUACAAGGCGCAGGGAACUUUGAGGUGCGUAAACGCCACUUAGAGGUGCGUAAACGCUAUUUCCAAAAUUCUAGAGGUGCGUAAACGGCGUUUACGUGCGUUUACCCUCCACUACAGCCCUGGGUACAAAUAUGUAACAGUAUCUUACAACAAAUAGUCAACCCUAUAAUAACAAUAUAGUGGAUUUAUAGAAAAGGCACAAUCAGCUGCUAAAGCUACAGUAUAUUCUAAAAAACUGUGAGAUUAGACCCAUAUAACAAACCACACAAUUGAUUGUGACAGUAACUGUUGAAAUUACUACUCAGUCCACCACAAUAACCUAAUGUCACACACGACAAUGCAGAAGGUUAUUUGUAGCACAACAACUGUCAAUCAAGCCAAUCCGGGCACAUUAAUGUACACGGAUCCAAUAAGGUCAAAUACAAAUGACGUUCAACAUCAAUUCAACCAAAAUGGAUCAACACAUGUUCUCAAUAAAAGGCGUAUUCAACCAUUCCGCAAAAUCGAUGCAAGUCCAAAUUCUUGUCUGGUCAUAGUGCCAAACACCUGCUCCGUAACAAACACUGUUAGUAAGAGUGCAUCUUAUGCAACCUGCAAUACUUUUGAUUGGUUGUUUUCAAUAAGAAAAAAAGACAAAACAACGUAACAUUGAAGCAAGUAAAGCACCUUGUUAAUUCCAACAAUUUCAAUCAUUAUCCAUUUUACUUUCAGUUUAACUAACAAUAUAAAUGACUUUGGUCCACUAUGUUCCAUGACAAAAUGGGUAAAAUCAGUUUGUAUAAACAGCGUGACAGCUAUUGUACAGACAGAACUUCUUUAAGAAAAACAUACUUUUCAAGAGAUCAAUUCCAAAGAAGAAGAAAGAAAAGAAGGCUCAAGGGCUUAUUUCCAUUCAGCUGCUCUGAUUCAUUAUUUCCCCUGAAAUACUUAAAGCCCUUCCCUCUAUCUGCCGUCUUCUUCCUCACCUCACAUGCAUGGUCCUGCACACCAUGCACACCAUGCAGGCACUGGGGGAGGUCACACGCCACACCCUCGGCAGAUGGCCACGCUGAAUGAGCUUUUCCCCGUGCAGACUUGUUCAACAGCUUCCCAUAGUUUCAUAACCUGGAAUAGAGAAAGACACGCUGAUUAUACUCAGAGUACAUCCCCUUCAUGCCCACACACACACACACACACACACACACACACACACACACACACACACACACACACACACACACACACACACAUAAAGGCACAUUCACAAGUGAUAAUAAUGGACUCUUUGACUUCAUGUCUGGGGAACUCAAGGUUAUCUUUUGCAAAACUAAAGUGAUUUUUACAGGUCGGGGAGUUCAGUUGAAUUUGUAAACAUCUUUCUGACAUACAAAGUGAGCUCAUGACUUUAUUCAGAUCCUCGUCUGAACAUUUUCUGAUUGGAGCAUUGGUUUUCAGCCCUUUGGCAGCUCGCCACCGAUGGGCGUGUCUUUUUCCUCAGGGCAACGCCACUAUCCACGCAUCUCACGCCCAACCCACCGACACCUAGGAAACUGGUUAUGGAUUUCACGUAAGGAUUGUAGGUUCUAUCACAUUAUGAUGCAGAUUCAAAGACAAAGACGCAACAGUAAAUCUGUGAUGCUGUGACGAGUUUCCGUUGUCCCUCCGGAGAAGACGACCUGCGUGAUCUAUGAAGCUGCUUUCUGACUGUGUAAUGAAUAAAAAUAAGACUCGCUUUCAUUUCAAUGCAGGUUAUUAUUUCUACAUACGCUCAGUAAUAUAUAUUAGUCUCCAAUUUUGAAUUUAUCUAGCUUUUUUGGAUUCAAAUGUCUCUAUAAGUCUGUUAUUUUUUUUGUAAUCGGAAAUACGUCUAACUAGGACCUCUGUCUAUUCACUGUGGAAUAGACAUAUACGUGUCUCCCAGUAUGGGCAGUAGACACCAGAAUCAUUUACAGGGAGGUGUUAUAACCUCCAAUAAACAUACCCUGAAAGGUGAUUUACAUCUUAUGAUUCAUCUUUAAAGGUUUAAUUAGCACCUGUGUAGGAGUGUGGAUGCACCUGCGUGCACAUCUGCAUCAAAUGUUUCUACUUUCUGCAACAUUGUGUCUGUUAGCUUAAACUGAACCGUAACUGUGAUUGAGGUUCAGUCAGGAAUGUUGAAUCAUUAAUACACAGAAACUGUUGAAUGUGAACUAUUUUACAGUGCAUUCUGUUCAUUGAGCUGAUCAAAUGCCUCUAAUGUAAAGUUCAGUACUUGAGUAAAUGUGCUUUAUUAAAUUACGCCACUAGAUGCAACAUUUAUCACUCGACCAGGCCGAGAUUCAUACUUUUAUGAAUCUACUCUCAUUUAUUGUUUCUGAAGCAGCAAUGUGAAGAUUUUUGGAUGGAUACUAUAUGCUUAAAGAAUGAAGAAUCAAAUAUUUACAUUCUGCAAGACUUUCCUUUUCUUUGGUUCUCUUUGGAUGAACGCCGUUGUGUUUUUCUCUUGGAGAAGCUUUGUGCUCAAGCUUUUUCAUUCGAGGAAGUAAAACAAAAAGUACAACAGCACGGUGACACAGCAAAAUUCCGGCCACAUUUUUUUGUCUUGUUAGAGGAUUACUCUUCUUGUCUUUCCUCCUGGCAUCUUUAACCAGCACAGGCGCAGAGGAGAAAGACACAGCUUAGGAAUUUAUUUGCGGCAGAUUUGAUUUCACUACGUAAAAACAACUCCGUAAACUACGUAAAACGCACGUUUGUUUGAGAACACACUUAAAACCAAAGGUGUAAAAAUGCUGCUGUGUUUCCAUUGAGGGCAAUGACCUUUGCUGUAAGAACAGCAGGAUUUGAUUGACCUCUGUGAUUGUGUGGUAAUGAGAGACGGCAGACGUCACGCAGUGUGAAUGUGCUGCCCUCUGCUGUCUGAUCUGGAGAACGUUGCAGUUAAAGGGGCAUUGCGCCAAUUUUACUCAUGAGGUUGAGUUCACUGACGAGGAGGAGUAAAAAAAAUAUCUUUUUUUUUCCAGGAACAGAUAAGCAGCACCAGUAGAGUAAAAUAAUAUAUGCUAUUAUAGCAUGACAGGCUUCAUCACUUCACUAGGGGAUAGAUUACAUUUAAUGUAGGAACCAUUUUCUUUCAACAUUAGUUUGUAGAUGAACUCAACAGAAUAAAGUCCUUAGAUUAACCUAAUUAACCGGGUCAUGAUUUCUUUUGCCUUUAAGUUUGUCAAAUGUAUUUUUGUGCUCUUUGAGCACCAAAAACAGUGGAAUAUAGUUUUAAGUAGUAUCUUUUGAAGAGAAGACAGACAGACAUCUGUCGGGAUAACUCCUCUAUGUUAGACUAAGAUACAAGUUUAAUUAAUUUUGAAUGAAUAUAUUAACUACAUAAUUUAAAAUGUCACAAGUUACAUUCAAAAAAUAAUAUUAGGCUUUACAUCCUACUUUAUUUAGCAAUCUCAUUCCUGUAAUUUAACAUAAUCCAAGUGAAGGGAGAAGGAGGGUGGUGUUGGAGCCCACAUCGAAUAAGGCAUCAUCGCCUGCAGAGUCCGUGUUCAACCACCAGGACGGGAGGAUUCCUCACACAAGGCAGCGAUCCUCUCCUUCUCUGUUUUGAAAGAAGUUUAUGCCUUGAUGCGUGAUGCCCAUCACCAACAACACAUUGGGUCCAGAUGGGAGGAGGCAGAAAAAGAGAGAAAGCGGGGGAGAGACGGAGAAAGAGAGAUAGACAGGGAGCCCGGUUGAUGUACAUCUGUCAUGCAUUAUUGCAGCGAAUGCCAGCGCUGCUAUCCUGGCCUUAGAAACUAUGUGAGGAGGGGGUCGAUGGGGACCUCCUUAAAUCCCAAUCUGAUUCCUCCUCCUCUCCUCCGUCGCCUCUUCCUAGUGACUCUAUCAACACACAAACACACACUCACUCUCUCUCUCUCUGCCACGCGCACAGACAAACAUCGUCUCCAGUGCUUCCUCUCUGUCUUCCUCAAACACACACACACACGCGCACACGCACUCACACUCACAUAGUAUCCCCGGAUGAAUUCCUCAGGAAGGAGUCAGCCUUCAUUCCUCUGGACACGACUUUUCCUUAACAAGGUACUGAUGGUCUUGACCUCCUCUUCAAACAAACCCUUCCCUCCAAUCAGGGCGGAUUGCCGAGCUGGGCCUCAGUCAAGGCCUGUGGGUAUUACAGAGGAAACGUCCUGAUUCUCCUUGAUUACUCCCUCUCUUUCUCUAAGUCUCUGUGGCUCUCUCCCUCUCUCAGUCCCCCUCCUCCUGCUGCCCCCGCUCUCCCUACAAAUAUCUCUGUCUCAGUGGCUUCUGGCUCCCCCGAUGUCUCUAACCCGAUCCCUGUCUUUGUCUGUCUUCUUUACUUUCGUUCUCGUCUCAUCUGCAUCCAUCCCUCUGAUUAUUCGCUGGUUAGCUGCUGUUUUUCAUUCUCCAGCGGUUUGUCGGCAGCAAACCCGAAGUCCUUUCGAACAAGACUUUCAGGAGACGGUUCGGAUAAUGAAUUGUGUUUUCACAGAUUGAAAAGGCCGACAGGUGUAAAGGCACUCGUGUACAAUAUCGACUGAACAAGCCCAUGUGACUAUAAAGAUCAAUUAAAAAGUUCUCUCUUAAAUUUUGCUCAUUAGGGGAAUCACAAACGCAUGCUAGAGAAAAACUAAAUAAAAAAAGUUAUAUCAUAGAGAUAUUCUUCCCGACAAUCUCCCUCUUUCCCCUUAUUGACAAAAGGUUUCACCGUGAGACCAAGAGAGGUCCAUCAUUUUGCCAGCAAGUAGGACGGAGCCUCAUCGUGCUGUCGAACACGUGCCGUUGCUUUACACCCGUGAAGAUAUAAAGCCCGUUGUCCUCCCGUGACCGGCAUCGUUACAGAGCAGCACUCCUCACCUAACUUCAGCACCACGCUGAGACUUUCCCCGUCUCACUGUGCGUCGCCACCUCUGUCUUCCACUCUCUGGUGUUUUGGAUUGAGGCCUGUCUGGUGGAAAGAUGUGUUGUUUAAGUGGCACAGUGUGUGUGUUUGUGUGUGUGUGACUGUGUGGAACACAUCUGUGCAAGUCUCUCUGCUCAUCCUUGCAUGUAUGUUGACGUGGAACAUGUGUGUGUGUGUGUGUGUGUGUGUGUGUGUGUGUGUGUGGGCUUGGAAGCGGAGCACAACGGAGGCAUGAAACACGUCGACGUUGGCCCCUCAUGUCUGACUGUGACACUGUGACGACCGGAUGGCCGGGAAGCGACGAAACACCCACAACACCGUCACAAAAUCCUUUUUCACAUUUCCUGGACGGCAACGCCGCGGCACGAGCGGGAACCGCCCCCUCAGACAAGAGUCCUUUCUCGGUGAGGAUGAAGGGGGCCAUUGUAGGCCGGGAGGCAAAGGUCGCCGCGGCUGUUAGGCUCACGCUGUGUCCGUCCCCCUGUUGACUCAGCGCCGGUCCCGCAACGGACGGACAACCCGGGACUAAUCUGUGUGUGUUCCGGGCCUCCAUUAGUCAAAUAUUAGUCACAGCGGCCAUUUAGCUGACGGCCACAAAGAGAGCUUUUGUUCUCCAGACUCACUCGGAGGCCAAAACGUGGAUUUCUCAAUCAAAAUGUGAGGUGAUGUGAAAGUAUUUCCUCUGGGUGUUCUCUGCGUCAGAGGACUCCCACGGAGGUUUGACUGGACGAGCGGCUGAUGCCCCGGGGCAUCUAUUCGCCAGUCUUUGCACUCGUCAUGGUAGGAGAAGCACAUCUAGAUGAUAAUAAGAUAAUACCAUCAAUGACAGCAGGAUUCCAUUUAGUUGCUUCCGUUUCCCCGUCUUGUUUGUGUCGAAUCUUGUCUUGUAAAAAUAGGUUCUGUUGGCUUUCUUUUUGGGUGGAAUUCUAUUGAUUGAAUACGGAUGUCAGACAAAUGAUCUGAUCUCUCAUUUCUCAGGAAAAAGUUGGUUGUUUCAUGUGUUAUUUUUUCACUCCUCAGAUGGGAAGCCCAAUGAACCUGGAGGCUUUCAAUGACGAAUGAAUUUGAUUUAGUUGCCGCAGUUUGGAUGUAUUCAUUGAUGUUGUUAGUAACACCUGGGCGGGUGUCUUCUGUGGCAGAGACCUGAUGUGACUUUGUUUUUGUCUGGUUGGGUGAUCCGCAUCUUUGUGUAUCAAUUGGACUGUUGGGAGUCUUGUUUACAUCGCUGAUGAAAGGUCAAGUUUAAUAAAUGUGAAAUAAAUCAGCAGCAAGGCAGAUAUUUUGUGGGUGUUUUGUUUUUUUAGCAAAAGUGACAUUUUCACUACAAUAGGAACAGAGCAGUGACACAAUUAUUGUUUGUAAAGAAAGAGUAACCAAUAAUUCUUAUUUCUUCAACAUCCUACAGAAUAAACCCCAGGAUGUAGUUCAAAGUGACGAAUUACAUUAAAAGAGGUUAUUGUCCAAUUUCCACUUUAAAGCUACAAUCAAACUUUAAAAAUGUUUUAACUCAGAGAUCAUUUAAAGUUUUUCACAGUUCUACAAAUUCAAUUAGACUUAAUUCAAGUCUUCAAGUUUUUUUAGGACACGUCAGGAACCGCAGUGAGGGCAAGUCGCUGUAGCUGUUAUAAGUCACAGAUACAAGAUAAUGCUAAACGCUUAAAAAUAUGCUACAGUAUCAAAAGUAGACCGUUAUCAUACAAAACAAACAUUAGCCGCCAAAGGCUGCUGCCUGUAACCGACCAAGUAAGGCUGUUGGAAGGCAUUUUAUUGCUCUUUUAUUCACCUUCUCAUUGGUAAAAGCAGGAAUGUUUUAUUUGGUCUUCAUAAUAUAAUUCACAUUCAUAAUACACUUCAUAAUUUUUUAAUUGUAAAUGAUCAUUAAACUGAGUCUUACUUAUGCUUUGGUGGAUUCAAAAAAAUUAUUAAAAAGUAAUAAAAUCGAUUAAACAAAAGACUCCUGAGUGACUCAACAGUCAAACAGAGACUUGGGGCCUGGAAAGUAACAGAAACAGAGUGAUUCAGUGGAAGUGAACGACCC
ensembl:lncRNA